rnacentral:rRNA from 1 species
GGGGAAUAUUGCACAAUGGGGGAAACCCUGAUGCAGCGACGCCGCGUGGAGGAAGAAGGUCUUCGGAUUGUAAACUCCUGUUGUUGGGAAAGAUAAUGACGGUACCCAACAAGGAAGUGACGGCUAACUACGUGCCAGCAGCCGCGGUAAAACGUAGGUCACAAGCGUUGUCCGGAAUUACUGGGUGUAAAGGGAGCGCAGGCGGGAAGACAAGUUGGAAGUGAAAUCUAUGGGCUCAACCCAUAAACUGCUUUCAAAACUGUUUUUCUUGAGUAGUGCAGAGGUAGGCGGAAUUCCCGGUGUAGCGGUGGAAUGCGUAGAUAUCGGGAGGAACACCAGUGGCGAAGGCGGCCUACUGGGCACCAACUGACGCUGAGGCUCGAAAGUGUGGGUAGCAAACAGGAUUAGAUACCCUGGUAGUCCACACCGUAAACGAUGAUUACUAGGUGUUGGAGGAUUGACCCCUUCAGUGCCGCAGUUAACACAAUAAGUAAUCCACCUGGGGAGUACGACCGCAAGGUUGAAACUCAAAGGAAUUGACGGGGGCCCGCACAAGCAGUGGAGUAUGUGGUUUAAUUCGACGCAACGCGAAGAACCUUACCAAGUCUUGACAUCCCUUGACAGACAUAGAAAUAUGUAAUCUCUUCGGAGCAAGGAGACAGGUGGUGCAUGGUUGUCGUCAGCUCGUGUCGUGAGAUGUUGGGUUAAGUCCCGCAACGAGCGCAACCCUUAUGGUCAGUUACUACGCAAGAGGACUCUGGCCAGACUGCCGUUGACAAAACGGAGGAAGGUGGGGAUAACGUCAAAUCAUCAUGCCCUUUAUGACUUGGGCUACACACGUACUACAAUGGCGUUAAACAAAGAGAAGCAAGACCGCGAGGUGGAGCAAAACUCAGAAACAACGUCCCAGUUCGGACUGCAGGCUGCAACUCGCCUGCACGAAGUCGGAAUUGCUAGUAAUCGUGGAUCAGCAUGCCACGGUGAAUACGUUCCCG